GAGACUCGGUCUGUCCACCCUGACAGGUGAGGAUCGGGCCAGGUGGCUCUUGGAGUGCAAGUUGUGGCACCGCAGUGGUGCAGGAGUGGGGUACGCUCUCCGGAAGUGAGCCACGUCUGGCCUGUGAAGGUGGCUGGUGGAAGAACAGGAAAGGUCCCUGUGGAAGUCAAAGAUUCUGCACCAUCGCCCUGUGGGAGUCUAAAGUCUCUUCCAGCCGCUUCCUUUGGACCUGGCAGCCCCUCUCUGGCUCUCACCAACCAGCCUGGGUGGUGGAACACGCACGGGGACCUAAAGGUGGCCCUAGGGGUAGCUAUGGUACUUCCUCUGGAGAGGACGCAGCUCGAUUCAGCCUGACGGCCUGACCCCAGCCCAGCGGAGCGCAGAAUCACAAGGGGAGGGAGAAGUAGGCUGCAGUCUGCUGAAGCUUGGACCCCCAGAACCUGUUGCCAUGGUCACAGGGGACUUUUGAUGUGAAGCGCGGCGACCCCCCCCCCUUGCUUGCCUUCAGGAUGACGUCACGGACGUCCGUUUCCCUGACAGGCCACCUGUGGGUUGCUCCCGGCUUUAAAGCAGCUGUUGUCCCCUGGCCCCCGCAGCCGUGUCCACCGCGUCGACACUGGAGCGGACCUUGUCGGAACUACAGACCUGUCUCCCACUCUGGCGGCUGCGGACCGGACAGACAGCCAGGGAGAGGCAAGUAUUCCCCAAAAGGCUUCCUCCCUCCUCAUCCUCCUCCCCGCGCCCUUGCUCUGCAGCUUGAGCGGCAGGGUAGGAGGGGACUUUUUUCCAGAAAGAAGUGGACAGCAAGCAAUCAAUUUUCCUCUCCGGCCAUGGUGACCAAGUCCCUGCCCGGGCCCUUUCCAGGUUCAACAGACCUGUUGCACCCAGAGAAGAGCCCCAAACCGAUCGGCGCGCCAAGAGCCCCGAGACUCUGCUUGCCAAUAUCCCGAGAGCCCAGCACCGACGGGGAAAUGUGGGAAGCUCCCAGACGCAAUUGAGUAAUCAUCUCAGUGUUCAGGGCCCCUCUUCCUACCCACUGAGAUAGCGGCAAAUAACUCACUAACCCGGGAGGGCAAUGGAGAGGCGGAAGCCCUGUCUACUGAAAACGAACAUCUAGCGCAGGUGCGUGCUAGUCUCGCCUUUCCAUCCGCCGGGUCCUUGCCUAGCGGUCAGAAUCCCGCGGUCAGGUCUCUGGAGCCCCUCCCCGGCAAAUCCGAGCUUCUAGCUUCAGCACCAGAAGCUGGACAGCGCCCUGCCCGCUGAGCGCGGGACGAUCCCUGGGACGCCGCGCAGAGGAGUGCCUGAGCAUCCCCUUCACAACCAGCAAGCACAGUGCAGCCAGCUUCUGGUCCUCUGUUUUCUCUUUGCCCUGAUUGACAAAUAUUGACUCCACUUUCCACCCGUCAGCCCUGCUCCCGUGCGUUCAUUCGUAUCGUCUGGCUAGAGAAGCACUUUACCCGCAGUUUUUUAAAGGCAACUGAACCGUUCUCAGAGUGAUUUAAGGGGAAACCACCAGCGAGUUACUAGAACAACCUAUGUCCUGUAGAUUAGUUUAUCCAGAAUACUUCUCAUUAAGAGCCAAGAAUUUUCUAUUUCCAAAGAAAACCCUUUUUUUAAAACUGAGGUAUCACUUGGGAGCACAGGGAGAAAAUGUCUGUAUUUUAGGCAGUAACCAUCAUAUCUCACCUGCAGUGCCUGCACCAACAAACACAAACAUCUUUCCUUAUAUUAUUUUUCCUUCCUUUGUUGAUAAAAUAUUUUUUUUAAAUCACUAUAAUUUCAAUGUAUGCUUAUGGCCAAAAAUGACCUUGGUGGACCAGCUAGAUAUAGUUGGUGAGCAUUUAUGCUAAAAUGCCUCUCAAGUGUUUCUAUAGAAAUUUCUGACAGACCAGACCAGACAGCUGUUCUGGUUUUUGUACUUUUUUCCUCAAAGAAAUGCUUUAUUUUAUUAAUUCUCCUGAGCAGUGAUCACUGAUCACAUCAAUAAUGUCCUAUAGCAAUAGUAGUUAUUUUGUUACAAAAAAAUUAUCUUUCUGCUCAUUUCUUUAUGGACAAAGGAUUUACUUUCCUUUUGAGAAUAUAAGCAAGAUCUUACUGGCCAGGAAAGAACCAUUCUCUCAUUGGUUGGUGUAUAAUGCCUUGUAACCCAGUAAGAGGAUGCCAUUUAUCCUUUUUUGACUAGCUGAGUGAGCCGGGUAGCCAGGAUGAUUAAAUCUCCCUCAGUGCUACCCAGUAGCAAAAGGUAGAACUCAGAGUUCUGGGGCCCAGGAUCUGAGACUUACUUUGGCUAAUCCAGAAUGCAUUUGACUGGCAAGGAUGAACUUUUCUACCUUGCUACUUGUAGUUUACUUGAACAAAUUUGCAUAAUACAUUGUUCUAUGGAUUUUUUUUCAUUUUAUGUUAUGUCAUGAUCACCCCAAGUCAGUGUAGGCUAUUGGUAUCAGCACAUUGAGGACCCAGGGUUUUUUUAUGAUUUCCCCUAGAAGUACAGAAUUGGUUCUCACCAUUAGGGAUAUGGUGAAAACUUUACAGGGUAAGGAUGGAAAGCUAGAAGAGAUGAAUAGUUAUUGCUGAUUUUGGAUUCACUCUGUUAGCUUUGCUAUCCUAUGAUUAUUUGAUUUGUUUGUUUUCCAACUUCAUUCUUCCUAGCUUUCCUUCUGGCCUGAAUUUUCAGUGAGAAGUAGAAAAGCUGAAUGGAUGGAGAUGGUGACCCUCUAAGUCAGAGUGAGGGCAGACCUAUUGCUACCAAAGAAGGCUUGUGGCAGGUUGAUGAUGCGGCCCCUGGAGUUGAAAGUUAUCUCAGCCCCUCAUGGCGUUGGUGUUGGGCAGGUCCGGGAUUUUUUUUCCUCUCUGCCUGCAAUCAAUAGUACAAUUUAGGAAUGGUGGCAUUGGUUUCCACAUUUCUAAGAGAGGAGUCAAAGAUUCUCCCUUGUUCUAGGACAAACUCUCCUAUAAGCCUGGCAGCCUGCAGGAUGCCUUCACGUGAGUACAGACUCCCUUGGUCAAUCUUUUCUUGGUGUUUGCUGGAGGGGAUGCAGGGGAUGGACAUAUACCUGACUACGAUGUUGCUACCAGGAACACUUCCUUCAUGGAUCACGUCCAGUGUCAGUGGGACCAUCCGCUUCAGUGCUAGAUGAUAAAACCUUCAAUAUUAGGGACUACAUCUUGUCACUUUUGAUUCCCUAAAGCUUAGUCAUGUUUAAAGUAGAGGCUGAACACAGGUCUGAACUAAAUGCUACCAGCUAGCAUUACAAGUCCCUUAACCUCUCCUUCAUGAGAACGGCAGCUCUAGCCCUGGACCCAUCCCUACCUUGGCCUCCCCUCUAAAUCAAAAGCUUCAUAUUCCCUAGCUCUCCUCACAAAAGAUAAACGAAGGCUCAAUUAAGCGUUACCAUGGUUACGUGGAGUAGCCACACUGAGGAUCCCUACACCCAUUACUGUCAUGAAGUAAGAGAAGAGGGGUUAAGGAAUCGUUGUCAUGGAGGAAACCAUGGAAACAAGCGUUGCUAAGGGGACAGCUGUAAAUUCAGAGGAAAGAAAUUAGAAGUGGGGAGUGGACUUUGUGGGCUCGAGAGCAGGUCACUUUUUCAAGGUACGUUUCUCUGGGACUAUAGCAGCCUUUAUUUUUUCUAUUUGUAUCUUCCCAGGCAGAGCCCAGAAUUAAAGAAUUUUAGAAAUUUUAGAAAACCACGGUCAUCAUCAGCUCAAGUCCAUCACUGUUGGAUUGGUCCCCAAACAGAGGCAGGGUUCAGAAAGGAGGGUUAUGUGGUGUGAACGGGUCAAUCCACUUUCACUGCCUCUUCGCCCAGCUCUGCGUGUAAUCUAAGCCAGGAGAACUGAGGAUCAAAUGUGUGACCCUUGUACUCAGCUGCAUCCCUAGCCCUCUUUUUAUUUUGAAACAAGGUCUUGCUAAGUCACUAAGUUGCCCAGGCUUAGCCUUCGAGAGUGACGACAUUACAGGUGGGCACCACCCCUACACGACCACCUCCAGCUCUUCCUGUUUCCCACCCUCCUUCAAUGUACAGUUCUUUGUGAUUCAUGAAGAAAAGGUAGAAAGAUCUACAUCUCCCUUUACUUCUAACCAUAGCAAAGCCAGUGGGCAGCCAGUUCUAUUAGAAAUCUCAUUCACACUUGAGAAGUCUGCAAAUUGGCAUCGCUCAGCAGGUGUCUGCUCCUCACGGCCGGAUGUCAGGAUGAGCAGAGCAGGGGGACAGCGGACUCAAGAGUCAGUCUCUCCUGGCAGCAUCUGGGGCUGGAGCCAGGUAAACGGGCAGAAAGCCUACUUCCGGAAACAAGCAUCUGGGGAGUGGGGUCCGCUCCUGGUUGGAGAGGUGGAUGCAGGGGCCCCUGUUGGUGCGCAGAGGAGGGAGUCCUGGCUCUGAAGUCAAACACGCACGUGUCCAUCUUGGCUGCACCCCUGCACAGGUGUGUGACUUUAAGCCAGUCACUUAACGUCUUUGAGCCUUGGAUCCUUGAACUGCAGGAUGGAAUUAGUCACCUCCACCGUGGCAGGUUGUUGGGACAAGUCGGUCGUGGAUGCAGAGCUGCACAGGCACAGACUCCCCCUCCCCCACUGUCCCCUUCCCGGAAGUCAGGGCGCCCGGGAACCUCGAACCACGGUGGAGUUGUAGCCACGCCUAAGGGGUGACCCUUCCCCUCCCCAGGUCACUAUGCCCUGCAAUUCGCGGAAGAAUGAACGCACCCCAACCCCCUCCCCACCGCAAAACCACAGAAAUCAAGGACUAGAAUUUGUGGCUUGCCUCUAAGUCACUCAGCAAGAUUCACAAUUUAGUGCUUCGUGAGGUGAUCUUCUAGGUAGCCCAAAAAGGGCCUCGGGUUCCUCACCCUCACCCAUCACCCGACUUUCGCGGUCCUGGUCCAGCGCUCACAUCGCAACUGCAAGUUUCCCUGGAUGUGCGGGGAUGCGGCGCCCUCUGCUGGGCCUUCGAUGCAACUGCUCGUUAGGCGAGCAAGGGUGGAGAGUAAAAUUUCCCUGGAUCAAAUCCUUCCGGUCUUUCAUUAAAAUACUGUGCGAAAUUAACCUGGAUCUAUGAGUCCUGGAAAUUCUUAGAAGCUAGGGGCACUAUACAAGUGCCACAAUCGUCUUGGUGACAGGCCAUGUCCUGGUAGGUCCAAAGUCCAGCCACAGUGGGGUCAUGAGUGCCAGUAGAGCCAGCUGUGGUGGCAUGGGCCUGUAAUCCCAGCACUCCGGGAAGCUGAGGCAAAAGGGUUGCAAGUCUGAGCUCAGCCUGGGCAGUUUAGCGAUUUAAUGAGACCUUGUCUCAACAUUAAAAAAAAAUUUUGUUUAAAUACCUCAGUUUGAAAGACCUGGGUUCAAUUCCCAGUACCCGCCCCCCACCCCACACACAAGGGAAGCUGCUUGACUUACAGUUAGCCCCCAGAGUUUUGUCAGCUUCGUUCCCUCUAACUCAAGGGGUCUUAAACUCAGCCCUGCACCAGGAUCAGCUGCUAACCAGUCAGCUCGGUAGAAUACAGAUCACUGGGCCCCCACCUGGCUAUCUCACUCCAGGUCCAACAAAUUCCCAGCCAAGCUCUAGGCUGCUGCUCUGGGUCCACACUGAGAGAACCACUGCUCUGAAAAUUGGUCAGAUCAAUACACCCUUUCAGGUCUACGACUGGCUCAGAUCCAUGAGGAUCCCCACAGCCCACCCGAAGCCCUCAAAGUGGUGCCCACAGCAGGCAUAAUAGUGCCUGGAUGGUCCAUAAGGAUUCGUGCUCGAAAAGCAGAUCGUGUCUCCAGAUGUCUCAUGUGCUCCGGGAUUGAAACUGUGGGGUCCCUGGGGGAAGGGUUUGACCAUAUGCUUUCCUCACCAGGUUCCACCCCAAAGGGUUCUAUUACAGAGAAGCCCUGGCCUUUGAAAGAGGAGCUAUUUUCACUCUAAGAGCUGGUAAGUAGCUGGGCAUGGUGGCACAUAUCAUAAUCGCCGCAAUCUGAAGGCUGAGGUAGGAAAAUCAAAAGUUCUAUUCCACUCUGGGUAACUUAGUGAGUUAGAGAGACUUUGUCUCAAAAUUUAAAGUUUUAAAAAUGGGUUGGGGGGCCAAGAAUUUAGCUCAGUGGUGCCACCACCCGCCUCGCAAGCGCAAGGUCCCAAAUUCAAUCCCAGUACCAAAAAAAUAAAAAGUAAAAAAAUAGAAAUGGGUUGGGGACAUUGCUCAGAACAAAGGCUCUGCAUGCAUUCCCCAAUACCGCAGAAAUAAAGAGUUGGUAGGUAGGCUGAGUAGCUUCCUAAAGAAGCAGGAUUAGGGGUACUGCUGUCCCCAGUGACAUGCAGUAUGGAGGCCAUCAUCACUGGGGUCUCAAACUGUUUUGCUUAAUAAUGUUCUUACCAAGAAUCUAAGUAGUGGGGCAGGGAUUUAGCUCAAUGGUGCCUUGCCUGCCUCACAAGCACAAGGUCCCCAAUUCGAUCCCCCAUACUAAAAAAAAAAGAAUCUAAGUAGUUACAAAGGUUGUAUUGAUAUCUUUAUAAAAUAUGCCAAAUAACUGCAAUGAAAUCUGAAUAGCAGAGUGAUUUGAUAUUAAUCAUAUCUUUUUUUUUUUUUUUGGUACCGGGAUCAAACUUGGGACCUUGCGCUUGUGAGGCAGGCAGUGGAACCACUGAGCUAAAUCCACGGCCCCAGUCAUAUCCAUUUUUAAGGUACAUGGAAAAAAAAAUUCUCCUUAUUGACAGUGUUGAGUUUUACCCUCAAACUGUGCUCUAACAAAACAGCAAUGGGUUUGGAAACCCUUCCCUCCCAAUGCUUUUGUGUUCUAGAAACAACUUACUACCAAGAAGCACCCUCCCCCACCCAGCUGAGAUAAAACUCCUGGAUUCCCCUCUGGGACUCCCCGUGUGACAUCUAGUCAAAGCCAGACACAGCCACUUCCCGUUUCCAUCUUUGCUCCAUGGGACCCACUAAACUGCUUGGCCCACUGAUCAAGCAGAAGAAAAUGCUCACUCUCAUCUACUACCCAUCUCUUCUGUUCCUUCCACUUCCCACACCCACUUUUUACCAGACUCAUCCCCUAAAAAAGCAGAUGUGUGCCCCGGCAGGGGUACACAUCUGUAAUACUAGCAUUCUGAGAGGAGGAGGCUGGAGUACCACACAAGUUUGAGGUCAGCCUGAGGUGGAAUAAAAGAAAUAAAAGAGAAAGAGGAAAUCAUAACUAAACAUUGUACUUUUAAGAAGAUUCCAGCUUCUAGGACCCAGCCCAUAUUACCCAGGGUGAUCCAUAUCAGUAUUUCCUUGGUUAAAUUUAGGCUCUGGUCCUGGCAGAUCUAGCACACCCCAAAUUCCUCAGGAAUACUGAAAGUCUAUAAAUUGGAUUAAUUGAGAAAAUAAAGAGCAGAAACUUGACCCCAAAAUAAAGGAGCCGGUGGAGAAAAUUCAAAAGUGUUUAAAUUUUCUAUUAAAAAAAAACACCUGCACAUGCCUAUAGAAUGGGCUAGUACUUUUGGGGGGCACCGUUUCCCAGGGUUUCCAUCCCUGCAAGAGAAGCAUAAAUGUUCCCUGUUCCAGGAAAUAACACACCUCAUUUCUCUGAGCACCUGCACUUCAUUCUUUCUUUCUUUGUGUGUGUGUGUGUGUGUGUGUGUGUGUGUGUGCCGGGGAUCAAACUUAGGACCUCGUGCUUGCCAGGCUCCCAUUUGCCAGGCAGGCACUGUGCCACUGAGCUAAAUCCCUGGUCCUGCACUCCAUUUUUGUGUGUCCUAAAAUCUCUGCCUAAUAAACUCUUAACUUGCCUCUUACAGAAGAGUCUUGAAAAUUCUUUUUUCACAAUGCGAGUCAUCGAACCUGCACUUCUUCUACAAAAGAUUGGGUCAAGUUCCUUAUUUCAGUUUCAGGCUCUCAGACCCAGCCCAGUGACAAGCCUGGACAACUUAGUGACUUAGUGAGACCCUGCUGGGCAUUUAAUGGGUUCAACCCCAUUUUCUCUCCCCUCAAAUCAGCUCUUUGUGUAACCCUUGAGAUAUUGUAGAUUUUAUGGAUUGUUCUUCCUAUUGUGUACUCUUAGCAUCCUGCAUCACACCCUCAAAAUAACCCUUUUAAAUAAAGUCUCCCUUUACUCAA